rnacentral:rRNA from 1 species
UACGGAGGGUGCAAGCGUUAUCCGGAUUCACUGGGUUUAAAGGGUGCGUAGGCGGCCCGUUAAGUCAGUGGUGAAAGCCUCCAGCUCAACUGGAGAACUGCCAUUGAUACUGGCGGGCUUGAGUACAGACGAGGUUGGCGGAAUUGAUUGUGUAGCGGUGAAAUGCAUAGAUACAAUCAAGAACUCCGAUUGCGUAGGCAGCUAACUAGGCUGUAACUGACGCUGAGGCACGAAAGCGUGGGGAGCGAACAGG